rfam:Oryza nivara chromosome 10, whole genome shotgun sequence.
UAUAAGGGAUUUUGAGUUUUUGCUUGCAACGUUUGACCAUUCGUCUUAUUCAAAUUUUUUUGAAAUUAUUAUUUAUUUUAUUUGUGACUUACUUUAUUAUCCACAGUAUUUUAAGCACAACUUUUCGUUUUUUAUAUUUGCAAAAAAAUUUGAAUAAGACGAGUGGUAAAACGUUGCAAGCGAAAUCUCAAAAUCCCUUAUA